rnacentral:lncRNA from 1 species
UGUUGAAUGUUUAGAAGACCUACAUAACUAGAAGACUGACUAUAUGGAUACCUUGGAUCCAUAUUAGCAAGAGCAGAGAAGUGAUUUAUAGAAGAGAAAGCUGAGGAAAGACUUUACUUAGCAAAGAAGAGAGAAAGAAGAUGAUGGAAAUUAUAUGAAAGAUGGUUGGGGUUUAAUAGCCGAAACUUGUAAGAGUAAUAACUUCGAAAUAAUAAUGACUAACCAAUAGCUACCAAGGUCUUAUCAGAAGCUAUUACACAUUACACAACUAAAACCAUUCAAGUAUACUUAUCACACAUUUUUGGCUUGGUUUCAAACAGACUACACUUCCAUCAAAUACCAUCCGUCUAACUAACCCAACACUCAAGUUAAUAAUCACCAUCAAAUACCAUCAGAAAUAAUAAUGACAAACCAAACACAAAUAGGAACACUUGUUAUAAUGAAUCGGAAUUUUUUUUUUUUUGGCAUUCAACUGAAACCACAACACUUGUUCUACAAACCAACAACAAAUUACUCAAUUAAGCAUAAACCAAAGGAUGAUUCAAGUAACACAACCAGAAGAGUCAGAUUGAAAUAAUUAUGAAUCGCAAUUUUUUUUUUAGGGCAUUCAACACAAACAGCAACACUUGUUAUACAAACAACUAUAUAUUACUCAACUAAGCAUAAAAGAACUGUCCA